AAUGAGUGCUGGCCAUGCGAGGGAGGCCGAAGAGAACCAGCCAAUAGGAAGGAGCGAGGGUUGGCGCUGCGCUGGAGCGGAGGUAGCGGUGCGGUGGCUGGGGCGGCGCGGAGGUGAAAUUUCUCGAAGCUGCGGGGCGCUGUUCGGCCGGGGUGUCUCCGCUGAAUUCGUAGCCUGGAGAGGCGGGCGAGGAAGGGAGAAGGCGGACGGGAGCAUGAACCACAAGAGCAAGAAGCGCAUCCGCGAGGCUAAGCGGAGCGCCCGCCCGGAGCUCAAGGACUCGCUCGACUGGACCCGGCAUAACUAUUGCGAGAGCUUCCCGCUCAACCCGGCAGCCUGCAAGGACAAUGUGGAAAGGGCAGAUUUACUCCAUUUGUCGGUGGAACAAUUCAUUGAACGUUAUGAGAAGCCUUACAAGCCUGUUGUCCUGCUGAAUGCUCAGGUGGAAUGGCCAGCUCAAGAGAAAUGGACUCUAGAGCGCCUGAAGCGCAAAUACAGAAACCAGAAAUUCAAAUGUGGGGAGGACAACGAUGGCUACUCUGUGAAAAUGAAGAUGAAGUAUUACAUUGAAUACAUGGAGACCACACGAGAUGACAGCCCCCUGUAUAUAUUUGACAGCAGCUAUGGGGAGCAUCCUAAGCGCAGGAAACUCUUGGAAGACUACAGGGUGCCUCUGUUCUUCACAGAUGACCUGUUCAAGUAUGCAGGAGAAAAGAGGCGACCACCCUACAGGUGGUUUGUGAUGGGCCCACCUCGAUCAGGAACAGGCAUUCAUAUUGACCCUUUGGGAACCAGUGCCUGGAAUGCCUUAGUCCAAGGACACAAGCGGUGGUGCCUCUUCCCUACCAGCACCCCCAGAGAGCUGAUCAAAGUGACUCGUGAAGAAGGAGGGAACCAGCAAGAUGAAGCAAUCACGUGGUUCAGAGUAAUAUAUCCUAGAACGCAGCUCCCCACAUGGCCUUCUGAAUUCAAACCUUUGGAAAUUGUGCAAAAACCAGGCGAGACUGUCUUUGUGCCAGGUGGCUGGUGGCAUGUAGUUCUCAAUCUUGACACAACCAUUGCUAUCACUCAGAACUUUGCCAGCUGUACAAACUUCCCUGUGGUGUGGCACAAGACAGUAAGGGGAAGGCCAAAAUUAUCGAGAAAAUGGUACAGGGUGCUAAAACAGGAACAUCCUGACCUGGCUGCAUUAGCAGAUUCUGUGGACUUACAGGAGUCAACAGGCAUUGCUUCUGAUAGUUCCAGUGAUUCGUCCAGCUCUUCCAGCUCCAGUUCUUCAGACUCCGACUCAGAGUGUGAUUCUAGCUCAGAGACGGAAGGAAUGAUGCAUCGAAGGAAAAAGCGGAGAACUUGCAGCAUGAUGGGUAAUGGUGAUACCACCUCUCACGAUGACUGUGUGAGCAAAGAGCGCAGCUCCUCCAGAUGAGCACUUGGGCUCAACUGGCUGCUUCUGAUUCCACUUCCCUAUUGUGCAGGGUACAACGCCAUGGCUGCUAAUGGUGAGGGGGCAGCUUUCUCUGCUGCAGGAUUAGGGAGUCUUGUGGAAGCCGUGCUCAUCCCUGAGAGUAACAAGACCCAUCUAAAAGCAGUCGCAGCCAGCCAGCUAUCUUCUCUUCCUCCUAUCAGCUGCAUACUUGGAAUUCUCUGAAGCCUUCACCACUCCUUUUUUUUUAAUUUUUUAAAAUCUAAACUUCUACCUACUGUCACCUGCCUAUCUAAGCCUGACUCCUUGCUAACUAAAGGGGGAAACGACAGAUAUUUUUGUGUUCAAACCUCUCUCUGUGCCCGUCAGACAAGUAUGCUAAACACUGGAAGACCAUGCUGCCCACUGCAAGGCUCUGCUGUGACUUGCACUCUGUGCAGUCGGGAAAGAGAGUAGACAAUAAUCAGCCAAGUCGUCUUAAAAGUAAGCAGGUGGAUCCUGAAAGCCUGUAUCAUGCUCCAACAUUGUCAUAUGUUUACAUGUUGAGUUUUCAUGCACUACAACUAGAGGUCAGAUUACAACCUCUGCUGUAUGUAAUUGUCCUGCAGGUACUUUACUAGAGCACAAGAGGAGGAGACAAACCUGGUUUUAGUCACCUGAGGUGACAAUUCUACUUCUUAAGUGAUCACUUGUAAGAAGCACUGUUUUGUAGUUUUAAUUUGUAGAUAACAAUUGUGGACUAAUGAGACUUACGUGAAAAGUAAUACCUGAACCAGCAGUCCAUCACCAUAUUUACAUGUGCUUUUAUCUUAUUUUAAAGAAGAACUGCUGGUAUUUUUUGCCGUCAGUUUGGGAGCUUGCCCCAGGAAAAAAAAUUGUAUGGGAAAAGCUAUAGCUGCCUCAUUUUACCUCUCCCUGUGGGAGUUUUGAGAAGCAUUGUAUGAAGGUAGAAAGCUUUUUUUUAAUAAGGAGUGGGUGGAGUCUGACUACAUAUAAUAAAAAUCCCAUUUUAUGAAGAACUGCUAUUCUAGAGCUGAAAAGCUUCCUUCUCUCUCUGCUGUUGUUACUGUGGCAGAUAUUUGAAGUGUAUGUGUAUGUGUUGUCUUGAAAUAAGAGGUGGUAGUGUGUAUUCCACAGCAGCUGCAUACUUCCAGUAUACUUUAAAAUGCUUCAAGGGCAUUUUAAAAAUUAAAAUACUAUGUUCUACAGUGGGUCUUGCACUUCUGUAUUUGGCCAACUCUGUCCCGACUUCGAAGGUCUGCCAAGAACAUGGUCAAAAGUCCCUUUAACACUUGAGAGCAAGUUGAGUGAUGAUCUAGACCUGAUGAUCAUAUUUUGAGAAAUGACAUGGAUAGGGUGCUUUUCAGUUCUCCUCCUGUAUUUUUCCCAUUAAGAGCCUAAAGAGAAUUCACUUUUACUGACUGUCUCACCAUCUUAGAACAGGUCUAACCAUGCAUGCAGUGUGACAUCACCCAGUUUGGGGCCAGUCAACAAGCUGGCUUCUGGCUAUGUGAGAAAUAUGCUUAGGAAAUGCAAUGGCAUGUGAUCUUUUUCCAUAGUUCCAGUGUGUGCCAAAAAGCAAUCGUAUCUUUAAUGUAGGAAUCCAGAUAACAUCUGUCCAUGCAUACAAGAAACAGAAUUAUUUUGGUGAAUGCUGACUGUGUUAAAAGGCCAACUUGCUGCUAUGCAGCUGAGGUAUCUGUAUCCAAAAACUAAAUAUUUUCCAGAUCUCUCUCCUUAAGCCAAUCCUGUAAAAUGGGAAUAAUCUUCUCUAAAUCUGGUAAUAUAGCAUACAUUUUCCUUGCAUGUCCUUGAAUAGCACAGUGUGUGUGGGAGCAGUUCUUAUGGAAACUGAAAUCUUUUUCCAGCAGUAGGAGACCACAGGAAAGGGGCACACAGACCAGUGUCAGAUGAAUUGCCACUACUCCCAGACUAAAACAGAUGAAGCUGCCUUAUAUGGAGUCAGACCACGGGUCCCUCUAACAUGGUCCGGCCUACUCCAGAUCGACGAAGGCCUUUCCCAGCUUACCAACUACUUUCUUUUUAACUGGGGCUGGAUCUUCUCCAUGUAGAACAUGUGCUCUGCCUCCACACUAUGUUUGUGCAGUGUGCAGUUUCUAAACAUGUAUCAGCCAUUGCUCAUGUGCUGUCUAAUAAUUGUAACCAUGAAAGUGAAGUUUAGAAACUUGAGGGCUUUUGCUUGUCUUAGGUUCCAAGGUGCUGUGCUGGAUGGCAUAUUACACAUUAUUGAGCACUACAUGCACUAGAUGUGUGGGGAGUGUUAUUUUUUUUACCAGGAAGUCUAAUGGAUGUAUUUAUGAUAGUAGGAUGCUGAUGAAUCCAUUCAUCACAUUUAUUCAUUUGAACUAGGAAUGCAAAUUUCCUCUGAUGUGGAAAAAGGUGGUGGCUAACUUUACUUGCUGGGACUGAAGUUGAAGGCCCCACUAUUUAUGUAGGAUGUACUAGUGCUCUUGUGUCUGUUUUUGUGGUGUUGGGUUUUUUAAAAAAUCAACUUAGAUGAAUUUUUAUCCCAGUUGAUAUUUUAAAAAGUACUGGAUACUUAGCAUUGCAGGGUGAAACCAGUUAUGGCUUUCCAUCUAGCAAUAUUAAGCACAGGCAACUGAAACUGUCAGCUUCCCUUAGUGUUACCAUGUCUUUUAAAAUGUCUGUCUUCAAUAAUGUUGAUGAGAUUUUAAUUUGCUCCCUAUUUUUUUGCAGCUGUUAGCCUCUUACUGUAAUAGGGACUGUUCUAUAUUCCACAUUCUCAGAUUGAUGAAAAAAAUAUUAAACAUGGGCUCCUUCUGAAGAGAAAAAAAAAAGUUGUAAUUUUUUAAAUAACAUGGUUAAUUCUUGCAUUUAGAAGCUAUGCCCUUAUUUCACUAAACCCCAGACCCCAGCCACCACCUUUUUGUAAAGAGGGCUCUGAGUAGUGGCUGGCCAGUCCUUUCAACUGUGCUCUGUUGCCAUUUUCAUUACUUUACCAGGCAGCAAGUAUAUUCCUAUCCUGUUGAGCCAAAGCCAGACAUCUGUCAUCCAGGAGAACAGUGUUUUGAUUCAGUUUAGUACCAAGCCUUCCCUGCCUACAAUUGUGUGAAGAAAAAGCUAUUCUAGUAAAAUAGAUGGCUGUUUGUACAAAAUGCCUUUGAAAGGAAGUCUAAUAUAUUAAACAGUGAAGAACAAAGCAGUUUCCUGUACACUGCUGGGAGUCGAGAUCCUGGGUUCUCUACUUGCUCUGUGUUGCAAGCAGAAAUAAAUAACUCAAUGCCUUGACUUAGUGCCUCCUUUGUUAUAUGCUUGGGAUUGCCUCCCUCACAGAAAUGUUGAGGCUUCUUAAGUCUUGCAAAAAACACAACAAAAACCAACCCUGAUCGUUGGUAAAUCAGAGUUAUUAAUGUAUGACAGACCAUAUUGCAUCCUGUUUCUCUCAACAGAAUGGCUUUUAAUAUGCCUCUUUGAAAACUAAUCUGCAGUAUUUGCACAAAGCCUGCUGUAAGUAGAGAUUUAAAUUUUAUCAGCUCCUGCCUGGAAACGUAAUGGUUAUUUAAUUGGUGGUUCUAUAAUCAUGAGAGCUAGACGCCUGCAUUUUGUUAUAUUAAAGGUUGAAUUGUGACUUGCUGUGGCCUGCCAAGUUUAGUGUUAAUAUUCCACAAAUUGCAGUACAACCUGGCCUUGUAGAGUCAAAUCCAACUGUUGAGCUAAAAAGGCUAAAAUGUGGGCUGUUGAAAUAUUCUCUGGAACAGUGCCAUUUCCCCCCCUUGUGUAUGGAUUUUAAGAGGAUUCAUGUUUUGCAGGUACCCUACCUUUGAAAUAUUUCACUGAGUGCUUGUGCUUGCAUCAGAGAAGGUCCUGGUUUUCUUAACUUGCUUUGCAGACCUCGCUCAGACUUGAUCCACCUUGUUUGCAGAUCAGCUUUAAAGAACUGCCACUAACUGGGAGCAAUGUACCAAGCCUAAACCUUUUUUUUCUUGAAUUCUUGAUGACCGUGUCAUUAUAUCAAGGCUACCUUUUGCCUGUCAAGUCCUUGGAGUUCUAUUCUCCCCUUUGUAAGGGGAGCAUUCUCUCUGGACUCUGAUGGUAACAUGAAAGUGCCAGCUCCACUCUAAGUCAAAUCCAUCCAUACAGUGAAGCCAGGGAUGCUCUGAAUUGUUCUCGUUGGAUGAUUAUUAUUUGUUCCUCUUAUUUAAAAUAAAGUCUUAUUUUCCAUUA